GACGAACGCUGGCGGCGUGCUUAACACAUGCAAGUCGAACGGAAAGGCCCUGCUUUUGUGGGGUGCUCGAGUGGCGAACGGGGGAGUAACACGUGAGUAACCUGCCCUUGACUUUGGGAUAACUUAAGGAAACUGGGGCUAAUACCGGAUAGGAGCUCCUGCUGCAUGGUGGGGGUUGGAAAGUUUCGGCGGUUGGGGAUGGACUAGCGGCUUAUCAGCUUGUUGGUGGGGUAGUGGCUUACCAAGGCUUGGACGGGUAGCCGGCCUGAGAGGGUGACCUGCCACAUUGGGACUGGGAUACGGCCCAGACUCCUACGGGAGGCAGCAGUGCGGAAUAUUGCACAAUGGGCGGAAGCCUGAUGCAGCAACGCCGCGUGCGGGAUGACGGCCUUCGGGUUGUAAUCCGCUUUCGCCUGUGACGAAGCGUGAGUGACGGUAAUGGGUAAAGAAGCACCGGCUAACUACGUG
rnacentral:rRNA from 1 species